CCAAAACAUGCCUCUUCUUCUGGUCGAUAAACCCUAACCCCAAAUCGAUCCAUUGAAAAGUCCCCAAAUCAAAUACUCUCCAGGAAAUUUCUGGAUCUGAAAUUGAAGAACAAAUCGUGACCAGGAAGCUCGAAUUUGUAAAGUGCCAUUGGUGAAGCUGUUGACAUGGAUGGAAGAAAUGGAGGUAAUUUUGAAUUUUUAUUUUCUAAAUACGCAUCAUUCACCUUCGUGUCAGUGGCUUCGAUUUUUAAUUUUUCGGAAUAUGAUGAUAUUUGUCAGACUGUUCCUUUGUCUUCAUCGUCUUCCAUUUUCAAAACAUGCUAUUGAGAUUAUCCAUUUCGUGUAUGAUUUUUAUUUGGUGAGUAGCCCAUGAACAUUGUAUUUAUUCAAAUUGAUUUACCUAGUGCAAAUUUUGAUUUUAGUCAAAAAGGAAAAAUGAUAUUGAGACAUGGGGCAUGUCGUUGUUGUCCUUGUUGCUUGAUAUGAGUUGUUUCCUUUUGAGAAUUUUGUUACGCUUCGGACGCAAACAUCUGGCAGUCAGCGAACUCAAAGAGAGGGAACAAGCUGCUCUUUGGCCAAGGUGCUAUCCUUUCCCUAAGUUCUUUGUCGAAUCACUUCCUCCUAAAGCUAAACCUCUUCACAUCCGAAGCUCCUCCUCUUAAAGUCGAAGCACUCGCUGCCUUUAAAGUAGGUCUGAAGAGUAUCUUUAUGAAUGAUUUAUAUAACAUUUGUAUUAAUAAAUGUCAGAAGUCUCACCAUAUGGUAUAGGGCGAUUAAUCUCUUGUCAAUGUAAUUAAUGUAUGACAGAAAGUGAUGUGAGGCUCUGAUCGUUGGGAUGAGGCCACGUGUUUCUGAUUCAACGAUGACCACGCCUUAACUCUAUAAAUAGCAGCUCUUGUAACAUGUAAAGAGAUUGGGAAAAAAAUAUGCACAAAAUAUGUACAUCUGAUACCAUAUCAACCUUCUACAUUGCUUAUUUAGCAUGAAUCUGCUUGAGCUUAGAUCAAUGCUACAUUGGUGGAAAUGCAUACGAUUAUUUAUUAGUUUACAAUCAUCUCUAAUCUUAGUUAGCGUUUGAAUAUUUUUGUCUUGCGUCAUAAAG
rnacentral:lncRNA from 1 species